rnacentral:rRNA from 1 species
GCCCAGCGCUGAAUCGCUCAGUCUUUAUGGCUGCUGUGACAUGUAGCGUAUAGGUGUUGGUGUCUGAAACUAUUGUUUGUCCGAAGUCCUUGCGAUUAAGGCCACAGACCAGAGAGGGUGCGAGUCCUGUUCUGGAUAGCGAUAGUUUCGGUUUGCUAGCUCCUUGGAGUCGGGUUGCUUGAAAGUGCAGCCUAAAGUGGGUGAUAAACUUCAUCUAAGGCUAAAUAUUGACUCGAUUGCGAUAGCGAACAAGUACCGUGAGGGAAAGUUGCAAAGAACUUUGAAGAGAGAGUUCAAGAGAACGUGAAAUCGUUGGUGUGUAAGAAGAGACAGUUAAUGUUGCUUGGUGGCAAACAUUUCGAUGUGACGCUUCGCUGUGUCGCUUCGUGAUGUGUCGCUGCUAAAGCUACGCUGACGGUGUUGGCUGUUCGUUCUGAACCGUAAAGUGUUGCCCAUUUGCUUUAUUGUUAAAUGGUGUCUGGCUUGCGGCAUAGGUUUGUGACGGCUAACAUUUUGCUGUAACUGUGUGUUUGGCGUCGGUGUGAAAGUUAACCAAGUCUCUUGCCCGUCUUGAAACACGGAUGCCGGAGUGUUUUUCUAGUGCAAGUCAAAAAGUGGUAAAACUUUUCGGCGUAGCGAAAGCAAAGGUAGGCCUCGAGUCUGCUGAUGUGGGAUCUUUGCCUUUUCAGGGCUUAGCGCACCACGGCCCUAUGCGUGUUGCUUGCAACUGUGUAGAGGUAGAGCACUAGGGAAACGACCCGAAAGAUGGUGAACUAUGCGUGAGCAGGACGAAGCCAGAGGAAACUCUGGUGGAAGUCCGUAUCGGUUCUGACGUGCAAAUCGAUCGAUAGACUUGUGUAUAGGGGCGAAAGACUAAUCGAACCAUCUAGUAGCUGGUUCCUCUCGAAGUUUCCCUCAGGAUAGCUGGACUUUAAUCAGUUAUAUUCGGUAAAGCUAAUGAUUAGAGGCAUUGGGGGUGUAAUGCCCUCAACCUAUUCUCAAACUUUCAAUGGAUAUGUAGUCUCAGUUUCUUCAUUGAACUGGCGACAUCAAUGUGUAAGGUCCAAGUGGGCCAUUUUUGGUAAGCAGAACUGGCGAUGUGGGAUGAACCAAACGUGGAGUUAAGGUGCCUAACUUCUCGCUCAUGAGACCCCAUAAAAGGUGUUGGUUGAUCUUGACAGCAGGACGGUGGCCAUGGAAGUCGGUACCCGCUAAGGAGUGUGUAACAACUCACCUGCCGAAUCAACUAGCCCUGAAAAUGGAUGGCGCUUAAGCGAGAGACCUAUACUCCACCGUUGCGACAUGUGCGUUGUCUAGCGCCAGGUCGCAACGAGUAGGGAGGUCGUGGCGGUUGCGUUGAAGGCUAUGAGCGUAGGCUCGGCUGGAGCGGCCGUCAGUGCAGAUCGGUAUGGUAGUAGCAAAUAUUCAAGUUCGAUCCUUGAAGACUGAAGUGGAGAAGGGUUCCACGUGAACAGUAGUUGGAUGUGGGUCAGUCGAUCCUAAGGUACUGGCUAACGCCUUGUAUCAUCGGUGGCGAAAGCUUGCUUUCUGUCACGAUUGUCGAAAGGGAAUAGGGUUAAUAUUCCCUGACUGAGAUGCAAAGAUUAUCAUCCUUGGGUGAUAAGCGCGGUAACGCAUUCGAACUUGGUUUGUCGCUCAAAGACCGAGCUAGAGUUUUCUUCUCUAGUUAAGGAACGGACUCCCUGGAAUUGGUUCAGCCAGAGAUAGGGACGUUGUUUCCGAAAAGCACCGCGGUUUCUGUGGUGUCUCGUGCUCUUUGAACGGCCCUUUAAACACCAAGGGAGGCUAUUAAUUUGCACUCAAUCGUACCGAUAUCCGCAUUAGGUCUCCAAGGUGAACAGCCUCUAGUCGAUAGAAUAAUGUAGGUAAGGGAAGUCGGCAAAUUUGAUCCGUAACUUCGGGAAAAGGAUUGGCUCCAGUGGUCGGAUCGAUCGGCCAGUUGGUUGAUGCUUGUUUCGGCGCUAUUCAGUCUGCCUGAAGCCUUUCGCGAGGUUGACGGCGGACAAGUGAUAGCGCUGACUUGUGGACGCUUACUGGUGUGUGCUUCGAUUUCGGUCGUAGUAUCCUGAUCGGUCAUUUAAACGACCGUACUGGAACCGGUACGGACUCAGGGAAUCCGACUGUCUAAUUAAAACAGAGGUGACAGAUGGUCCUUGCGGACGUUGACUGUCACUGAUUUCUGCCCAGUGCUCUGAAUGUUAAAUCGUAGUGAUUCGAGUAAGCGCGGGUAAACGGCGGGAGUAACUAUGACUCUCUUAAGGUAGCCAAAUGCCUCGUCAUUUAACUGGUGACGCGCAUGAAUGGAUUAACGAGAUUCCUACUGUCCCUAACUACUAUCUAGCGAAACCACAGCCAAGGGAACGGGCUUGGAAAAAAUAGCGGGGAAAGAAGACCCUGUUGAGCUUGACUCUAGUUUGACAUUGUGAAGAGUCAUGAGAGGUGUAGCAUAGGUGGGAGACUUCGGUCGCCGGUGAAAUACCACCACUUUCAUCGACUCUUUACUUAUUCGGUUAAAAGAGAAUUAGCCUCGCGGCUUUUUUUCGAAGCGUUAAACAGUGCCAUAUUAUAUGGUGCUGUGACUCUCCUCGAAGACAGUGUCUAGCGGGGAGUUUGACUGGGGCGGUACAUCUAUCAAAUCGUAACGUAGGUGUCCUAAGGCGAGCUCAGAGAGGACGGAAACCUCUCGUAGAGCAAAAGGGCAAAAGCUUGCUUGAUCUUGACUUUCAGUACGAGUACAGACCGCGAAAGCGUGGCCUAUCGAUCCUUUUAAUCCAGAUUGUUUCUGGUAAGAGGUGUCAGAAAAGUUACCACAGGGAUAACUGGCUUGUGGCAGCCAAGCGUCCAUAGCGACGUUGCUUUUUGAUCCUUCGAUGUCGGCUCUUCCUAUCAUUGCGAAGCAGAAUUCGCCAAGCGUUGGAUUGUUCACCCACUAAUAGGGAACGUGAGCUGGGUUUAGACCGUCGUGAGACAGGUUAGUUUUACCCUACUGUUGACUUGUUAUUGCGAAAGUAAUCCUGCUCAGUACGAGAGGAACAGCGGGUUCAAACAUUUGGUUCAUGGACUUGGUCGACAGGCCAAUGGUCCGAAGCUACCAUUUGAGAGAUUAUAACUGAACGCCUCUAAGUUAGAAUCUCGCCUUGUCAAGGCGAAAAUUCUUUGCCCUCCGGUGUCGGUAGGCAUCUUUAUCUCGUUGCAAAACGAGAGCUUAUGCCCUAAAUAUGGCCUUGGCUUCGUAGUGAUAUGUCUGCGAAGCCUGCCAACGCCAGAUCACUCUGGUUCAAUGUCGGGGCGCAAAAUCACUUGCAUACGACUUGGUCUCUUGGUCAAGGUGUUGUAUUCAGUAGAGCAGUCAUUUUAUACUGCGAUCUGUUGAGACUAU